GCUUUGAUCCAGAGAUUUCCGAAUGGGGAAACCCAGCAUGAGUUAUGUCAUGUUAUCGAUAUGUGAAUACAUAGCAUAUCAGAAGGCACACCCGGAGAACUGAAACAUCUUAGUACCCGGAGGAAGAGAAAGAAAAUUCGAUUCCCUUAGUAGCGGCGAGCGAAACGGGAAGAGCCCAAACCAACAAGCUUGCUUGUUGGGGUUGUAGGACACUCUAUACGGAGUUACAAAGGACGACAUUAGACGAAUCAUCUGGAAAGAUGAAUCAAAGAAGGUAAUAAUCCUGUAGUCGAAAAUGUUGUCUCUCUUGAGUGGAUCCUGAGUACGACGGAGCACGUGAAAUUCCGUCGGAAUCUGGGAGGACCAUCUCCUAAGGCUAAAUACUCUCUAGUGACCGAUAGUGAACCAGUACCGUGAGGGAAAGGUGAAAAGCACCCCGGAAGGGGAGUGAAAUAGAACCUGAAACCGUGUGCUUACAAGUAGUCAGAGCCCGUUAAUGGGUGAUGGCGUGCCUUUUGUAGAAUGAACCGGCGAGUUACGAUUUGAUGCAAGGUUAAGCAGUAAAUGUGGAGCCGUAGCGAAAGCGAGUCUGAAUAGGGCGUUUAGUAUUUGGUCGUAGACCCGAAACCAGGUGAUCUACCCUUGGUCAGGUUGAAGUUCAGGUAACACUGAAUGGAGGACCGAACCGACUUACGUUGAAAAGUGAGCGGAUGAACUGAGGGUAGCGGAGAAAUUCCAAUCGAACCUGGAGAU
rnacentral:rRNA from 1 species